rnacentral:rRNA from 1 species
AUUGAACGCUGGCGGCAGGCCUAACACAUGCAAGUCGAGCGAGCGGCGGACGGGUGAGUCAUGUCUGGGAAACUGCCUGAUGGAGGGGGCUAACGUCAGGAAACGGUAGCUAAUACCGCAUACCAUCAGAUGUGCCUAGAUGGGAUUAGCUAGUUGGUGGGGUAACGGCCUACCUAGGCGACGAUCCCUAGAUGGUCUGAGAGGAUGACCAGUCACACUGGAACUGAGACACGGUCCAGACUCCUACGGGAGGCAGCAGUGGGGAAUAUUGGACAAUGGGCGCAAGCCUGAUGCAGCCAUGCCGCGUGUGUGAAGAAGGUCUUCGGAUUGUAAAGCACUUUAAGCUGGGAGGCGUUACCCGCAGAAGAAGCACCGGCUAACUCCGUGCCAGCAGCCGCGGUAAUAC